rfam:Danio rerio chromosome 4, GRCz11 reference primary assembly.
GCAAUGGUGGUUUAGUGGUAGAAUUCUCGUGUUUCACGCAGGGGGCCUGGGUCCGAUUCCCGGUCAACGCA